UCCUCUUCCCCCUCUCUCUAGAUCACUUCCUCUCUCUCUAAAGCUCUUGGAGGACAGAAGAAUGGAACUGGAAGUGAUGAGGAAAUGGUAAAGGAAAGGUCCUUAUUUAUAGAAAAUGGGGACCGUUGCAUUUACACCAACUAGCAAAAUCUAGUGAGGAGAGAGAAAGUAAUGGAAAAGUAUCAUGUGACUGAAGAAUGGACGACGCAAUGUGAUGGUGGCACAAUUGGAGGCAUGCCACCCUAACAUUGACACAUCACCUAAACAACGGUGACACACUGCCCAACUAGCACUGCACACUGCUCGAAGGCGGCGCACAAUGCCCAUUGGGGUAGCGCACACUACCCCAGUUAGCCACACGCUAAAGGCCUAGCCUACUACACACGCCAGCCUAGCCUGCCGCACAUAGGCUUAGCUUAUCGCACCUGCAAGCCUACAGC
rnacentral:lncRNA from 1 species